CGCCCGGGCCGCCCUCGGCGCCACCUGAGCCGCGGUGCGGGCUGCGCGGGGCGCCGGUUCCGCGGAAGCCUGGGUCGGGCGCUGCGUGCGGGACUCUCGUCGCUCGUGGACGGGGCGCGAGCGCGCGGGGGACGUAGGGCGCCGACCUGGCCCUCCCCGGCCCUCCGGCUCCGCUCAGGGGCCUCCGGCGCGAGGCCCCCUUCGUGGUCAAGAUGGCGGCGCCCAGGCGGGCCGCGCCGAGGUGAGCUGGAGCCGGGCCCGGAGAGGGGCGAGUGUGCCACGCCCAGGACUUGGACCCCGGGCUGGUCUCCCGUCUCCCGGGGAGCGGCGGGUUGAUGGGCGCUACGGGAUAAGGAAAAGGAUGUGAAGCUCACUGAAGAGGCUUGGGUUGGGAGUGCUGGAGGAGUGUACAGAGACUCAGCACCUUUCUGUACAGAAAUGGAGACAGGAAGAGGCCAGAGGAUGAAUGACAGGCACGAAUGAGGUGGAACUUUGAAGAGCAACAUGGAAAUGAAAUACUUCUUUUGUAUUUGGACAUCUGCAGAUAUUUAUUUGAAUUUUGUUGAAUUGUUCUCAUCAAUAUCUUAGUGAGAAGAGAGCAGGCUGAAUGGAAGAAAGUCAUUAUGACCACUGGGGCCACUAGGUUCCAGAAAUGACGUCUGCUGAAGGAGAACAUGUUCUAGCAAUGAAAUCUUCAAAAGACUCCUGCCGCUGCUCUGUGACUGCGACCCCCAGGUUGUCUUUGGAAGUUUCUAAGGCCUCCUGAGUAGAGACUGGAACAUGGAAGGAGUCGAGAGGCAAAGGAAUCCCAGCAUCACCUGUAAUUUUCUGAAACUGGAGGGAAAGACAAAAGACAAGACAAAAAUUCAGUGAUGAACAAAGCCAACCAUUAAAAAGUAGAGUUCAAAACUUCAGUGUUACUCUGUGAUCUUAUUAUUAACACAGUCAAUUGAUUCUUCAGAAGAUUUCAGAGCCACUUUUUCUCUAAUUAUAUCCUGCCAAGUGAUUCUCAGCUUAACCUAGCUAUAUCCAAGGCUGUGUCCGCUACAUUUUCAGACUUUGGUGACUGGGGUAGUUAUUACCCAUUUCCUUUCCCUCACUAAAAAUAAAACCCUACUCUGUAAGAAAAUUAAUUUCUUUGCUAUCCUCCAGGCUCAUGUAAACAGUAUAUAAUAUAGUUUGUGACCAGACUGUGUUCUCAAGCUGUCAGUUCCCAAGACCAGUCUGAGAUUGGCUGAGCUGGGCGAAGGGGGCUCCAAGUGAGGCUGGAGGAAAAGCUGACAGGUUUCCCCUCCCAUUCCCAUGACCAGGUGGACUACUAACAGUAGAAUUCAUCUGGGGACGACCUAGUAAAUGAAAAUCUGACUGAUCUAUACCAGCCAUUGUGGCUAGCUGCCCAAGCCUGGACCAGAGGAGGAAAAGAGAAAAGACAAAGGUUAUUAUAAUCACAGAAGAGCAGUUUAGAUUUCCCCAGACCUACAAUCAUGAAAUACUUAUAAAAUCUUAAAAGCCAACAUCCUACUCCAGACUAUAAGCCUCUCUCUCCCUCAAAUUCUCAGCCCUUUCCAGAUUCAUCCUCUAGGAAACAUCCCACUGUCUCACUAGCAGCUUCAACAUGUACCACGCACCCCGUUCACUGCCAGUCACACCUCCAUUCCCACACUUCUUUACCACCUUUCCUCCAGUUUCCAAGAAUGUGUUUGUUCCUUCCUUCCCAACACCAACUCAUUCACUGACAAAACACCACUCCAUCAACUAUCAAUCUCCACUUCCCUCUUUCAGCAAAAUUGCUCACGGUUGAGAACCACUGACCUAUAUCUUCCCUGCAGAUUAAUAAUAAUUUUUAUGUCUAAGACAAAAAUAACUUUAAUUCAAACUUAUCAAACAAGCAAAGUAAAUGAAAGAUAGGAAAAUUCUUACCCAUUCCCGAAUAUUUUCAAUGAAAGCUGCCUUCAAUUUAGUCUUUACAAAAAACUGUACCUACUAAUUACUCUGUCUACAGGUUACUCGUUUAUAAUGGGCUCCCCACUCUACCAAAACAGGCUCCCCUAUUUGCAUUUCUUAAAAAAUUUAAUUCCUCAUUUUAAAACGUCAACUAUAUUACCUAUAAUUACACUAAAUUUGGCUAAAUAUGGCCACGUAAGUGAUGAAAAUUGCUCCAGUUCCUCAGCAAACUACCAUUAUAGUCGCAAAGAGAAGAACGCCAUGAAGAGAAAUGAACUAACCCAGCAUCUUUAAGGAGAUCCAAGAAAGCAUGGAACUUCUGAAAAGAAUUCUCAAUGCUGCCCAAAACACCUUCAUCAUCCAGGAUCAUGCUUGUCAAUGAGUGGACAUGAAGGGCUUCAGACAAAGAGAAAUUUACAUUUCUUAACUGGGCAUUUUCAUGUUCCAGCUAUAAAAGAAGACGGAAAAUGUCUGCAUGAUUUUUUCUCAUUGUCAUCAAAAGUAGUCUUGUCUAGUUUCAAGUAACAAAACUAAAACUCUCAAAAUGUAAUUAAUCUGUAAUUAACCUAACUCUCCACCAGUAAAGACAGAGACUAUAUCACAUAAUAACAAAAACCCCAGGCACCCAACAAAGUUUCCUAUAUAACGCUUAGGUGGUAUAUAAAUAAACCAAAGUUAUUUUAUUAAUGAUCUUUCACAAAAGAUCACAUUUCUAACUGGUUAAAUUCAUAAUGGAGCCUCAUUCCACAUUAGAAAAUUACCUGCUUUAAGUUUCCCUUAAAUUAGAAAGUGAAUUAUAGAAUCUGAUCUGAACAAAACAUAUUACAACUCUGCUGAAUGUUAAGAAUUAACUUUAGUGAGCAAAAUAUCUAAUGCUUACGUUUAAAAGUCCUAAAUUAUACCCAACCCAAUUUAUUAAAUGUACGAUCACCAAUGUUUUCUUUGGCUCCUUCAAAAUAUUCACUCCCAUGCACUCUUCCCCUUCUGCUCAUCACCUAUGCACUUAAAACCCCCUAUAAGCCCAACUCCAGUAUUUCUCAGAAAGGCUGUUAUGUUCAUGAUGCCCCUUUUGCCUUAUAUAAGCAGGUGCUCACCAUUUAUUGAAUGAGUGUCCGCCAAUCCAGUGGAUGCACUUUGAAAAAUUCCUGCCUACACUCAACCUCUGAUAAAGUAUAUUUACAUAGAACAUUUUAGAUUAUGCCCUGCUUUCAUGCACAUUACCUAAUGUAAUUCUUAUAGUAUAUAUUUUUAUCUUUCAUUGCAUUCUUAGAAGUUUUCCAAUAUCUUAAAUUUAUUUAAAUGAUUCACUUUCCUAAUUCAUUGCCAGGAGAGUCUCAUCAUGUCUUUUAUGCUACUGUAUAUAUAGUAUAUGCACAAAAAGUGCUUUCUUGAAUCAAAGAAUCAUGAACAGAACAUAAGCUAAUGUCAUAAAGCGCGCACACACACACACACACACACACACACACACACGAGAUUUUCACAUUUUUAAAAACAUGCUUUCUGGAAUAUAGAUCAUAUGAUCACUAAAUACCAGUAAAUGCAAAAGUCCAUAUGAUACAACCAAUUUGCAACAUAUUACAGUUUUAAAGUUUACAAGCUAUGUGUAUAUGGAUUAAAAUCAAAUCAAAAUAAAACCAAAACACUCCCAAAAGUAUAAGAAAUUGUUUACUUCAUUGACUCAUUUAUCAGCCUUCAGUCUUAUUACUCUUUCCUCCUUUAACUGCUUUAGGCACUCCUCCAGGUUUUCCUAAACAAACAGAGUAAAUGUUAUAACUAAUUCGUAGUAUAAUAUCCAAAAGCCUUUCCAGCUAUUGGUCUCAUCAGGAUUUAGGGGCAGAGCCAGAAGUGAACUCAGAUUUUAGUCUGCUACUGGUAAUAUCAUACCAUGCUAGUGAAAUGAAUUAUCAAAAUCUAUCAAAUUAGCAUAGUAAAGAUUUAUUUAAAUUCCACUUUUUCCAACAUAAAUUUGUGGCAGCCCAUCAUAAAAGGCAUAUGCGUAUAACAUAGCAAGUCAGAAAUAAGAAGACCAAGAAAGAAAAAUUCUAUUUUUAUUUGUGGGUCUCUUUAUAGCAGGAAGUCCUAUUAAUGAACAUGCUUAACAUACCUGAAUUGCAUAACUGCAGAUUCAAAAGCAUGUUUUUAAAAAGUAAUCACUUUUAAAGCAAUUUACAGUCAAGCACUGUUCCUGGAGUUCCCUGGGUAUCAAAUAAUCUAAUCAUCAAAACACUAAGAGGGGGCUUCCCUGCUGGCACAGUGGUUAAGAAUCCGCCUGCCAGUGCAGGGGACACAGGUUCGAGCCCUAGGCUGGGAAGAACCCACAUGCCGCGGAGCAACUAAGCCCGUGCGCCACGACUACUGAGCCUAUGCUCUAGAACCCACGUGCCACAACUACUGAAGCCUGCGCGCUAGAGCCUGUGCUCCGCAAUAAGGGAAGCCAUCGCGCCGCAACGAAGAGUAGCCCCCGGCUUGACGCAACUGGAGAAAGCCUCUGAGCAGCAACGAAGACCCAACGCGGCCCAAAAUAAAUAAA